rnacentral:rRNA from 1 species
UACGGAGGGGGCUAGCGUUGUCCGAAGUUACUGGGCGUAAAGCGCGCGUAGGCGGGUUGGUAAGUCCGCUGUGAAAGCCCGGAGCUCAACUCCGGAGGGUCGGUGGAUACUGCCAGUCUUGAAGGUGCUAGGGGGAGAUGGAAUUACCGGUGUAGCGGUGAAAUGCGUAGAUAUCGGGAGGAACACCAGUGGCGAAGGCGACUAUCUGGGGUGCAACUGACGCUGAGGCGCGAAGGCUAGGGUAGCAAACAGG